GGGCUCGCUGACGGGUCAGCUUCUGCGCUUGCACCGCGGAAUAGAGGGUUCAACUCCCUCCGGGUCCACCA
rnacentral:tRNA from 1 species